AUUGAACGCUGGCGGCAGGCUUAACACAUGCAAGUCGAGCGGGGUGAUGGUGCUUGCACUAUCACUUAGCGGCGGACGGGUGAGUAAUGCUUAGGAAUCUGCCUAUUAGUGGGGGACAACAUCUCGAAAGGGAUGCUAAUAACGCAUACGUCCUACGGGAGAAAGCAGGGGAUCACUUGUGACCUUGAGCUAAUAAGUGAGCCUAAGUCGGAUUAGCUAGUUGGUGGGGUAAAGGCCUAACAAGGCGACGAUCGGUAGCGGGUCUGCGAGGAUGAUCCGCCACACUGGGACUGAGACACGGCCCAGACUCCUACGGGAGGCAGCAGUGGGGAAUAUUGGACAAUGGGGGGAACCCUGAUCCAGCCAUGCCGCGUGUGUGAAGAAGGCCUUAUGGUUGUAAAGCACUUUAAGCGAGGAGGAGGCUCUUUUGGUUAAUACCCAAGAUGAGUGGACGUUACUCGCAGAAUAAGCACCGGCUAACUCUGUGCCAGCCGCCGCCGUAA
rnacentral:rRNA from 1 species